ACCCAGUUAGCUCAGUCCGUGGAGCGUGUGACUCUUGAUCUUGGGGUUGUGAGUUCAAGCCCCACGUUGGGUG
rnacentral:tRNA from 1 species